UACGUAGGGUCCGAGCGUUGUCCGGAAUUAUUGGGCGUAAAGAGCUUGUAGGCGGUUUGUCGCGUCUGCCGUGAAAAUCCGGGGCUCAACCCCGGACUUGCGGUGGGUACGGGCAGACUAGAGUGUGGUAGGGGAGACUGGAAUUCCUGGUGUAGCGGUGAAAUGCGCAGAUAUCAGGAGGAACACCGAUGGCGAAGGCAGGCCUCUGGGCCACUACUGACGCUGAGAAGCGAAAGCGUGGGAGCGAACAGG
rnacentral:rRNA from 1 species